CUAAGCCAUGCGAGUCGAGAGGGUUCGGCCCUCGGCGGACGGCUCAGUAACACGUGGAUAACCUACCCUUAGGUGGGGGAUAACCUCGGGAAACUGAGGAUAAUACCCCAUAAGUCUAGGAGGCUGGAAUGCAUCUAGGCUGAAAGCUUCGGCGCCUAAGGAUGGGUCUGCGACCUAUCAGGUUGUAGUCAGGGUAAUGACCUGACUAGCCUACGACGGGUACGGGUUGUGAGAGCAAUAGCCCGGAGAUGGACUCUGAGACACGAGUCCAGGCCCUACGGGGCGCAGCAGGCGCGAAACCUCCGCAAUGCGCGAAAGCGCGACGGGGGGAUUCCAAGUGCUGGCUCGUAAGAGUCAGCUGUUCUCGAGCCUAAAAAGCUCGGGGAGUAAGGGCUGGGUAAGACGGGUGCCAGCCGCCGCGGUAAUACCCGCAGCUCAAGUGGUGGCCGCUAUUAUUGGGCCUAAAACGUUCGUAGCCGGUUUGGUAAAUGCCUGGGUAAAUCGUGAGGCUUAACCUUACGAAUUCCGGGUAGACUGCCAGACUUGGGACCGGGAGAGGCCAGAGGUACUCCGGGGGUAGGGGUGAAAUCCUGUAAUCCUCGGGGGACCACCAGUGGCGAAGGCGUCUGGCCAGAACGGGUCCGACGGUGAGGGACGAAGCCCUGGGGCGCAAACCGGAUUAGAUACCCGGGUAGUCCAGGGUGUAAACGCUGCUCGCUUGAUGUUAGGUGGGCUCCGGGCCUACCUAGUGUCGGAGAGAAGUUGUUAAGCGAGCUGCCUGGGGAGUACGGCCGCAAGGCUGAAACUUAAAGGAAUUGGCGGGGGAGCACAGCAACGGGUGGAGCGUGCGGUUUAAUUGG
rnacentral:rRNA from 1 species